UAGCGUAGGGUGCGAGCGUUAAUCGGAAUUACUGGGCGUAAAGCGUGCGCAGGCGGUUGUGCAAGACAGAGGUGAAAUCCCCGGGCUUAACCUGGGAAUGGCCUUUGUGACUGCACGGCUAGAGUGUGUCAGAGGGGGGUAGAAUUCCACGUGUAGCAGUGAAAUGCGUAGAGAUGUGGAGGAAUACCGAUGGCGAAGGCAGCCCCCUGGGAUAACACU
rnacentral:rRNA from 1 species